rnacentral:rRNA from 1 species
GGGGGGGGGGGGGGGGGGGGGGGGGGGGGGGGGGGCGGGGGGGGGGGGGGGGGGGGGGGGCGGGGGGGGGGGGCGGGGGGCGGGGGGGGGGGGGGUGGAGCGGAGGCUGCGUUUUCGGGGGGGGGAAGGGGGGGAAACUUACGCUAAUACCGCAUACGACCUACGGGUGAAAGCAGGGGAUCUUCGGACCUUGCGCGAUUGAAUGAGCCGAUGUCGGAUUAGCUAGUUGGCGGGGUAAAGGCCCACCAAGGCGACGAUCCGUAGCUGGUCUGAGAGGAUGAUCAGCCACACUGGAACUGAGACACGGUCCAGACUCCUACGGGAGGCAGCAGUGGGGAAUAUUGGACAAUGGGCGCAAGCCUGAUCCAGCCAUACCGCGUGGGUGAAGAAGGCCUUCGGGUUGUAAAGCCCUUUUGUUGGGAAAGAAAAGCAGCAGGUUAAUACCCCGCUGUUCUGACGGUACCCAAAGAAUAAGCACCGGCUAACUUCGUG